AGCGAACGCUGGCGGCAGGCUUAACACAUGCAAGUCGAACGGAUCCUUCGGGAUCAGUGGCAGACGGGUGAGUAACACGUGGGAACGUGCCUUUUGGUUCGGAACAACUCAGGGAAACUUGAGCUAAUACCGGAUGUGCCCUUCGGGGGAAAGGAUUUAUCGCCAUUAGAGCGGCCCGCGUCUGAUUAGCUAGUUGGUGAGGUAAAGGCUCACCAAGGCUUCGAUCAGUAGCUGGCUGAGAGGAUGAUCAGCCACACUGGGACUGAGACACGGCCCAGACUCCUACGGGAGGCAGCAGUGGGGAAUCUUGCGCAAUGGGCGAAAGCCUGACGCAGCCAUGCCGCGUGAAUGAU
rnacentral:rRNA from 1 species